rnacentral:SRP_RNA from 1 species
GCUGGGUGUGGUGGCGCAUGCCUGUAAUCCCAGCUACUCGGGAGGCUGAGGCAGGAGAAUCGCUUGAGCCCAGGAGGCAGAGGUUGCAGUGAGCUGAGAUUGCACCACUGCACUCCAGCCUGGGUGACAGAGCGAGACUCAGUCUCAA